ACGCCGUUUGUGGAUACUCAUACACUCUUUGUAAUCCAACUAUCUCUGCAGUUAAUCGAUCCAAUCCCUUGGUAACGAAACCCUUUCACUUCCGCUCUAAUCAUCAUUAAACAUGGUUCUUCGUUGUGUUCUUGCAUCUCCAAUCUGUUAAAAGGAUGGUUUGCCUUUCAAUGAAUUAGUUAGUUAAGGUUUAUGGAUCUAAUAGUAAGUAUUUAAUUACUAUUUUUUUUGCCUUCUUUGUUUAUGAUUUGAUGCAGAUUCGGAUUUAUAUGGGCAGGAAAAUUUUCAGGUCAACCUCUACAAUUACUCGAUUGAAACCCUGGGAAGGCGAUGGGUAAAUAUCUCUGCCAAGUUUUGCUUCGCAUCGUGCAUCUCCUAUUCAGCAGCCACUAAUCACUGGAUCACCAACUACAAACUCUAAUCUAUCAUAUUCAAGCUUUGGUUGUUCAUCUACACCAUGCUACCGCCGCUAAUGAACUCAAUUCUGUUGGUUGUUUCAUUGCUGUUGUACCACCACUUUGAUCUAAGGUGUUACAAUUCACUACCACCUAUAAGCAAGGUGUAUGGAACCUUGUGUUUGCUAACUAUAUCAGCUGUUUCACUAAAAAGUUUGGCAACCUAUUAUAAUGCAUUGCUCCAUGCAGAGGUCUUUUAUCGUUUUCAGGACUUCAUGGUAGGCGAUAAAGAAGACAAAGUAAUUAGAAAGUAAGUUGCAUUUGAAUCCAAGCUUGAAUAUUUUCAUAUUUAUACAUCUAUUGUUUCACUGCUUAUGUCAUUUUUAGUUGUUUAAAGAUUUCAUGCAUAUCGGUAUUGGUUUGUGAAUAUGGAUGGUUAUAGGUUGUUAUUGGGCAGGGUCGUAGGGGUGGAGACUGAAAACUGAGAAUGGACUUUUACAUUGCUAUAGUGCCACAUGUAUGCGUGUUUCUGUAGUCAAGUAGGUUCUCUACGUGUUUCGCAUUGACUGCUGUCUGUUUAUACACACCUUCAAAAAACUUUUUCUAGAUUGAUGUUUUAUCUUAUAGAUUUCAGUAGAAUAAAGUGAUGAUUGGAUCUUUGUUGUUUAAUAUUCUUGAUUCUUCUAUUACAUCUCCAUCCCUGUUUGUUUCCAUUGGUUUUGUUCCUUUUUUUCCUAAAAGUUGCAGGCGACGAUGGUGUUACAAAUAUAAGAAGUAUGCCAGACUGCCUUAAGCGACUUCUUCCACAUUUGACAUACGUGGUAAAGGGAUUAAUAAGCCAAAGCGACAUAUCUCUAGAAGAAAUUCAGGAGUUCCAAUAGUUGGAGGGAUGCUUAUACAGCCAAUCGGUUAGAGAAGUGAAGAACAAGUGGGUCUGGAAAGGUUCAGAAGGAACAAAUGAUUUCAUAGUUAAGCAGGUAAGUACUGAGCUUGCGAGGGUCAAGGCAGGUGAGUGAGCAGCAGGGUGUUUUUAGUUGGUGUAUGGUCACAGUUCCAAAGGUCAAUUGUUUUUUCUGGAGGCAUUAGAUGUCAAAAUCCCGACUGCCUCGACUCUUGCCAAAAGGGGUGCGAAUAUGUGCGAUGGGAAAUUCCCGCUGUGCAUCAGUGAGGACGAGACUUCGGAAUGCAGCUUUGUGAAUGAAGUAUGGGGUUAGUUUGGAGCUGGUUAAGUGUCCAGGUCCCGGAUGAGUUAGUUUCGGUUAAACAAAUGCUGCAAUAUGGUAGCAGGGUAGAUACAUCGAAGCUAUUUAAAGAGAUUAUCAAGGCCAUAUUCUUGAAGGCUAUAUGGUGGAUAUGGUUAUGUAGUAAUGGGAAGAUUUUUUUAAUGCAUAGUGACCUCGGUGCCCUUGGUAGUGGAAAGAAUCAAGGUCAGUAUGUUUUGGUGUAUGUUUUGCCUUCUUUUUGCAGCUUGCCAAAGGAGGUCUUAUGCUAAUAAAAAGCACUUUGCUAGCCAAAAAAAGAUUCUUAACAAUUAAUUUGUCCAACCUGAUGGCUGGUCGAUAAUUAUUGCGUAUAUAUUAUACAUAUAUGGUUUGAUUAUAAAACUCUUUGCUUAUGCGUUGAACGAUGGUUUUGAUUUUGAAGUUAUUAUGGCAGAUCAUCAUUGUUGAUAAACAAGAAAUUCAAAUUAGUUUCACUAAUAAUUAUUAAUAUAUAUAUAUAUAUAUAUAUAUAUUAAUAGAGAAAGAGAAUGAACAGUGGUUUUAUUGUGUAAUUGGUAGAUUUGGACGACUGUUUUUGCUGAUUGGAUUACCUGGCGGUUCUAAUUACAAAAUUUUAAAACCACCUCUCAUCAACUCAUCUUUCUUGGCCUCUUCUCCAUUCUCACUCACUCUAAACAACACAUACUUAAAAGUUCUUUAAGCAUGGGGUAGAAUUUGGACACCAGAUCAUUGUCGGUUGUCUCCGGGUGACAUCGACUGUGGCUGCUCAGUUGAGCCGUUUACAAGAGCUUUCUCUGCUCUGUUUUCUGGUCAGCUAUUUUUAGUUUUGUUUUCACGUCAGAGGAUGCGAGAACGGUGUUUAUUACCGUGGAUCAUCACCAUACAAUUUUGAAGUUUAUUAGAUUUAUUUCAGAACCAUGAUGGUCUCUACACAUGAGUUCUUAUCGAUGAAAGCUUAUGACAAUUUUCUUUCGUUUUUGCAUUUUUUCGAGAGCAAUGUUUAUAUAACUUUGAAAAUAUGGGUUGUUUGUUUUGACCCUCAUUCUCGUAUGAAGUUGUGAUGCCCAGCUAAGAUUCGGAGGCUAUGAUGGACCUGAUGGUUUCCUGAGUCUCCAUUGUAAAAACACCUAUUAGCUUAGAAAUCGUGCACAUGAAUUGUUCGAUGAAAUGAUUUUAUUGGUUGAUUGUUAGAAAUAUGGGAUGUUCAUACCUAUUAGCUCAGAAAGUUUACAUUAUGAACACGUAAUAGUUUGAGAAUUGCGCUGAUCUAUGUAACUGAUGCUUUUUAUGGGUUUUGCAUGACAAAUCGGUGUCUGUUUAUCUGCAUGGUUUUGUCUGUUCGUGCCGAUGAUCAAACCUGUUUGCCUAAUUCGCCAUGGCGGCUUCUUCAGGUAUUGAAAGCGGGAUGAUUGAUGAUUGCAGCUGAUCAUUAGAGCUCAUGGUACGUUUCAUUUAACUUGCUAUAUUUUCUAUUUCUUUAAUUUUAUUCACAUAAAAACAUUUGGUUUGUAUAUGAUCGUCAGUAUUGUAAGUGUUAUUAGGUUUGCAUCAGAUUCUUUAACCUUUUAAAGACUUUGAUUUUGUGAGAUGGGAUUUGGUUACCUUCUAAAGUUAUAGCUAAAUAGGAACAUGUCAAAUAGUAAAAGGUAAAUCAAAGUGUUUGUUAUGUGCAUAAAACCUCCUAUAUCACUUUAUUUAAAAAUUAGAUUAUGAUUGAAAUUACGUGAAAUGUUUAACUAUAUUAGACAUUAAUUAUUUUAGAACUUCUACAUUUUUCGGUUUUGUAUAGUUUUUUGUUGAAAAGAGGUGGAUAAGAGCUAUAAGUUGGACCCGUUGGUCACCAUUCUUGCGAUUUAGGAUAAGCUCCAGGUAAACAAACAAAUAAUUAAAUGAUUCAUAUUGCUAAUCUUUUGAAGUGUUCACACAUAUCAGAUAAUAUGAUACAUGCUCCAAUAAGUUUGCAAAUAUAUGAACUCAUAGAGCACUUUGAGAUGAACUAACAACCUGACUUCUAAAAUGUAGACUAGGGGUUUGUCAAAUUAAUUUCCGUUACUUCAACAUCAGGUAUUUUUAUGUAUAAGAAUCGGGUCAAAGUGACUAAUUGUAAUAGGUUCGAAUGAAACACGGAUUAUGUUCGAAGUGGUUUAGGUUGAAGGGGUCAGGUAGGGUCAAGUAACAGGUCAUAACUGGUUUGGGUCAAAAUAGUUUCUGCCUGAAAUGGAUUUGGGUUGAACUUGAAGUGUAAGGUAGCUAAUCAUAAUGGGUUCGAGUUGAAAUGGUUUGUUUUAGAAUAUAUAUAUAUAACAAAACUGCAAGCAUGAUAGUCUCAAACUUAUUUAGUUCAGUAUUACUUGAAUGUCAUAAUGUUGAAUCAACUUGAGCUACAAAUUUAUAAUUCUUCUUAAAAUUUUACUGUGAUUUUGUUUGUGCUUUGAUAGGUAGAGGACCCACUUUUUAUUUGAUAUUGGUUUUAAUUUUUUUUAAUUUCAAUUCAUUCAAUUUGCCAUUAAUACCAAUUGGAUGUGUCAUUUUAGGUCAGUAUGCGAUCUUCAUAAAUGUUAGUAUGCUAAUGUUGUUUUA